rnacentral:tRNA from 2 species
GCGGGGGUUGCCAAGCCAGGUCAAAGGCGCAGGGUUCAGGUCCCUGUCGCGUAGGCGUUCGUGGGUUCGAAUCCCACCCCCCGCACCA